GAUGAACGCUGGCGGCGUGCCUAAUACAUGCCAGUCGAGCGAACAGAUGAGGAGCUUGCUCCUCUGACGUUAGCGGCGGACGGGUGAGUAACACGUGGAUAACCUACCUAUAAGACUGGGAUAACUUCGGGAAACCGGAGCUAAUACCGGAUAAUAUAUUGAACCGCAUGGUUCAAUAGUGAAAGACGGUUUUGCUGUCACUUAUAGAUGGAUCCGCGCCGCAUUAGCUAGUUGGUAAGGUAACGGCUUACCAAGGCAACGAUGCGUAGCCGACCUGAGAGGGUGAUCGGCCACACUGGAACUGAGACACGGUCCAGACUCCUACGGGAGGCAGCAGUAGGGAAUCUUCCGCAAUGGGCGAAAGCCUGACGGAGCAACGCCGCGUGAGUGAUGAAGGUCUUCGGAUCGUAAAACUCUGUUAUUAGGGAAGAAAAAAUGUGUAAGUAAAUAUGCACGUCUUGACGGUACCUAAUCAGAAAGCCACGGCUAACUACGUG
rnacentral:rRNA from 1 species